UACGGAGGGUGCAAGCGUUAUCCGGAUUCACUGGGUUUAAAGGGUGCGUAGGCGGGCAGGUAAGUCCGUGGUGAAAUCUCUGAGCUUAACUCAGAAACUGCCAUGGAUACUAUUUGUCUUGAAUAUUGUGGAGGUAAGCGGAAUAUGUCAUGUAGCGGUGAAAUGCUUAGAUAUGACAUAGAACACCAAUUGCGAAGGCAGCUUACUACACAGUUAUUGACGCUGAGGCUCGAAAGCGUGGGGAUCAAACAGG
rnacentral:rRNA from 1 species